AGAUUGAACGCUGGCGGCAGGCCUAACACAUGCAAGUCGAGCGGCAGCACGGGUACUUGUACCUGGUGGCGAGCGGCGGACGGGUGAGUAAUGCCUAGGAAUCUGCCUGAUAGUGGGGGAUAACGCUCGGAAACGGACGCUAAUACCGCAUACGUCCUACGGGAGAAAGCAGGGGACCUUCGGGCCUUGCGCUAUCAGAUGAGCCUAGGUCGGAUUAGCUUAGGUUGGUGGGGUAAUGGCUCACCAAGGCGACGAUCCGUAACUGGUCUGAGAGGAUGAUCAGUCACACUGGAACUGAGACACGGUCCAGACCUCCUA
rnacentral:rRNA from 1 species